GACGAACGCUGGCGGCGUGCUUAACACAUGCAAGUCGAACGGAAAGGCCCUGCUUUUGUGGGGUGCUCGAGUGGCGAACGGGUGAGUAACACGUGAGUAACCUGCCCUUGACUUUGGGAUAACUUCAGGAAACUGGGGCUAAUACCGGAUAGGAGCUCCUGCUGCAUGGUGGGGGUUGGAAAGUUUCGGCGGUUGGGGAUGUACUUGCGGCUUAUUAGCUUGUUGGUGGGGUAGUGGCUUACCAAGGCGUUGACGGGUAGCCGGCCUGAGAGGGUGACCGGGAUCAGUGGGACUGGGAUACGGCCCAGACUCCUACGGGAGGCAGCAGUGGGGAAGAUUGCACAAUGGGCGGAAGCCUGAUGCAGCAACGCCGCGGGCGGGAUGACGGCCUUCGGGUUGUAAACCGCUUUCGCCUGUGACGAAGCGUGAGUGACGGUAAUGGGUAAAGAAGCACCGGCUAACUACGUG
rnacentral:rRNA from 1 species